rnacentral:rRNA from 1 species
CCUACGGGUGGCAGCAGUGAGGAAUAUUGGUCAAUGGACGAGAGUCUGAACCAGCCAAGUAGCGUGAAGGAUGACUGCCCUAUGGGUUGUAAACUUCUUUUAUAUGGGAAUAAAACGUUCCACGUGUGGGAUUUUGUAUGUACCAUAUGAAUAAGGAUCGGCUAACUCCGUGCCAGCAGCCGCGGUAAUACGGAGGUUCCGAGCGUUAUCCGGAUUUAUUGGGUUUAAAGGGGGCGUAGGUGGAUUGUUAAGUCAGUUGUGAAAGUUUGCGGCUCAACCGUAAAGUUGCAGUUGAAACUGGCAGUCUUGAGUACAGUAGAGGUGGGCGGAAUUCGUGGUGUAGCGGUGAAAUGCUUAGAUAUCACGAAGAACUCCGAUUGCGAAGGCAGUUCACUGGACUGCAACUGACACUGAGGCUCGAAAGUGUGGGUAUCAAACAGGAUUAGAUACCCCAGUAGUC